rnacentral:rRNA from 1 species
CCCGCACAAGCGGUGGAGCAUGUGGUUUAAUUCGAUGAUACGCGAGGAACCUUACCUGGGCUCAAAUGUAUGUUGACGUAUUCUGAAAGGGAUACUUCUUCGGACAAUAUACAAGGUGCUGCAUGGUUGUCGUCAGCUCGUGCCGUGAGGUGUCGGGUUAAGUCCCGCAACGAGCGCAACCCUUGCCUUUAGUUGCCAGCAGUUCGGCUGGGCACUCUAAAGGGACUGCCGGUGUUAAACCGGAGGAAGGUGGGGAUGACGUCAAGUCCUCAUGGCCUUUAUGACCAGGGCUACACACGUACUACAAUGGCCGAUACAAAGGGCAGCGACACUGCGAGGUGAAGCCAAUCCCGUAAAAUCGGUCUCAGUCCGGAUUGGAGUCUGCAACUCGACUCCAUGAAGUUGGAAUCGCUAGUAAUCGUGGAUCAGCAUGCCACGGUGAAUACGUUCCCGGGCCUU